rnacentral:misc_RNA from 1 species
AUGUGAAUUAAAAUUGAGUUUGCUCCCUUGUUUUUCUAAAGAGAUUAAAUUGCAUUUUUGGGUUUUGGACAUUCAGGAGCUACAUUGGAUUUGAGACUAGAUAAGUAGACAUGUGAUAUUUGAGUGAAAUUUAAGAACCGGGUCCAGUCUUUGGAACUAAUUUACUCGUGAGUUUUCUUUUCAGGCCUUCAUUUUUCAGUAACAAUGGGGGAUUUAUUUUUCUUUCUUGUUUGGGCUUUCCCUUUGAUAUGACAACUUUUAGAUUUCAGUGAAGUGGGUUUUACCUGGUGAGAUUGAUUUGGCAUUGCUGUAAUAUAAUUGUGGGUUUCUUUUAUGUGAAUGACUAGGAGCUUGUAGAGACAGCUCAGGAAAGGGGGGAUGAAAAGUGAAAUUGUGGGUAUUCAAAAUCAUUGAAGUAUAAAGGAAGCAGGUUAUGAUUUUCAAGACUGAUUUGUACUCUGUUUUCACAUUAUAGUUUCUGAGAGUGAUUUUGUAAGAAGGGAGAUGAAAAGUAUAGUUGUGGGUGUGGAAGUACAAUGACUGGGGGGUC